rnacentral:misc_RNA from 1 species
GAUGAAGAACGUAGCGAAAUGCGAUAAGUAAUGUGAAUUGCAGAAUUCAGUGAAUCAUCGAAUCUUUGAACGCACCUUGCACCCUUUGGCAUUCCGAAGGGUAUGCUCGUUUGAGUGUCAUUGUACUCUCACUCUCCCGAUACUUUUGGAUCGGGAGUGGUGGACUUGGGUGCUGCUGCUUAACUGUGGCUCGCCUUAAAUGAAGUAGUGCAACUCUCGGUUGGACAUAGUACGGCGUGAUAAGUGUCUUCGCCGGCGCCUCAUUCGAGGGUGGCCGAUCGGGAGCUCUGUGCUUCAAACUGUCUUCGGACAGCAUCUGACAACUUGACCUCAAAUCGAGUAGGACUACCCGCUGAACUUAAGCAUAUCAAUAAGCGGAGGA